GUCUGUCAUCCCAGCUACUCAGGAGACUGAGGUAGGAGCAUUGCAGAUUUGAGGCCAGCCUGGAUAAUUUAGUGAGACUCUAUCCCAAAAUAAAAUAAAAAGGCUGAGGGUAUAGCUCAGUGGUAGAGGAUUCCUGCAAUCUCCAAUAUGCAAAAAUCAAUCAAUCAAAUACCUCACAUGCUUUCAAAAACUGGAAACAGGAAAAGAAACUGGAAAAGAAACAAGAAAAAGAAAGAAAUGGGUGUGGUGGCACAGUCCUGUAAUCCCAGCAGCUCUGGAGGCCAAGGAGGAAGGAUCGUGAGUUCAAACCCAGCCUCAGCAAUUUAGUAAGGCCCUAAGCAAUUUAGUGCGACUCUAUCUGAAAAUAAAAAAUAAAUAAAUAAAAUAAAAAGGGCUGGGGAUGUGGCUCAGUGGUUAACUGCCUCUGAGUUCAAUUCCCAGUACCAGGAAAAAAAAAAAAAGAGGCCGAAAAAUAGUGGGGAGGGUGUUGAUGAAUGGGCUUCUGAGGCUGGGCUGGAAAAGAAUAUCUGAAGUACUGAAGUCCAGGCCUGGUCACCAGGCAACUCAUCACCUGGCAACAGCUUCCCAGCUAGCUGCCUGCUUCCAUCUUCACCCGGACAGCACAGCAGCCCUCCACGUCUCCACCAGGCUUCUCUCCAAAGCAGCACCCUUAUGCACACUCUCCUACGUCAUGCUUCUUGCUGACACUAAAGGCUCAUCCUGUCCCCAAUGAACUCCUCCCUCUCCCUUGGACAAUGGCUUCCCCUUCCCAUCCCACCACAGCGUCUUCAGGAUGAAGCACAGCUCCUCAGAAGGCCAUCCCAGAUCACAGUGGCUCUACCCCACCUCUCCCACUAUUUCCCCACGGGAAGCUCAGCUUGGCAAGUUUUCCCCACAGGUGGGUGGUUCCUGUUUACUUCAGUGAUGUGCCUGUGUUGUGUCCCUGCCUGGAAAGCAUACUUCCCCUGCCCCUCCCUGCUCUUCACACCUGCCCAUCCUUCAGGACUGGUCAGUUCUGGUCUCCUUACUAUGACUUCCCUUUAUCUCUUUAUCUUUGCACCUUUUAUUUUAUAUCAUCCAUUUAGUAUUGUAACCAGUGAAGUCAUUUAAAUGAUUCAUAUUU
rnacentral:lncRNA from 1 species